AUGCUCGAAUCUGGAUGUGGUGGUCAGAAAAUAAAACCCCUGUUUCCAGCCGUCGACCAUCCCGUGGUAUGUCUACCCGUCUGUCAUGAAAUUCCUGGAGCGAAUCUUGCGUUUGCGUUUUUAUUCACAGCGUUGCUUUGGUUUACAUUAGUUCUUUGUUUGCAUCUCACAGUCUGCUUAUUCUUCUAUUUCUCCUCUGAAGAAGAGGUGGGACAUUUGCGAGAGAAGAGCGUGAGGUCAGGCAUUUCUGCUCGGUUGGCUUGGGUCUGGAAGGAGAUGUCUGCUGUGGCGCUGGCUUGGGGCUGGGAACAUUUAGAAAGAAGCAGGAUAGAGGAGUCCCACGGCUUCUCAGCUUCUCCCGUUCUUCCCCGGCUUCAUGACACACUGAAUCACCGGUGAUUUCAUCACUCAGAAUACAUAGACACAAAGAAGGCUCCUCAUUCAGAAUCUCCCUGAACCUCAUGAUGGACUUGCUUGGACAUGGGACAACUCCAUCAUUUCCUGGAACUUGCAUUUCACUUGGAGAGGCCGGCUCUAAGGGAGGGUGUUCUUUGUGGUCUUCCAUGUACAGCUAAUUAAGAUUCUGACUGGGUUUAGGAUCAAAGAAUCCUGUCCCAUUGCAUUCCCACAUUCUUCCUUCUUCUUUCAGUGUCUUCCAAGAUCUAUUUUAAACGGGAUGUGUUGUGUACUUUUCAGGGGCCCUUUGACCUGUUCCCAGUAAAUCAUAACAGGAAGGUAGGUCUCAGCCCUUUGCUUAACAGCCAAUCAGUGUAAAACCAAGGUCUGCAAAGCUCUGUCUAUGUCCAGUGCCCAACCAGGGAAGUGGUGUUUCCAAAGGCUUCCCCGCCGGUCAGUCUAUGGUAGUUAUUUGCUAAUCUGAAUCCAUAUUGGUGAUUAAUUUUGUAAUUAGAUUCUUUGCAGGUAUAAAGGAUAGGGAGCAAAGGGCAAACAUCUCAGAGAAAUUCUGCAAACAUGAAAUAUUGGUGCAAGAAGUUCACAAUGAGCUGGGAAGGAAUGGGGAGAAAUAAUAGGACCUUGAAUCCUUUCCAAUUCCCACCCCAGUGUGCUUGGCAACUCACAUGAUAUCUUAACUUUUGCAAAUAUUGGGGAGAAAAAGCAGCCAAGAUUUUAUGCAACAAUGAAAAGGGCCUGAAGCAUUUCAAUUUCCAGGUGGCUAAACAAAAGAGGGCACACACCAAGGAAAGACAUUUAGUGUGUGCAGAAGGGUUGGACAAAAGGGAAGAUGAUUUAAUCAGACAGAGAAAAAAAUAGAAAUGAUAUCUUUAUUUGGGUAUAAUGGGGUUGCAUAUAGGUGUGUUUGCACAAAUUUCUUGGGCUUUUCCAGUAAUGAUGCAAUGCUGUAAGGUCCCCAGUUCCUCAUAAAUUUAGCUAAAACUUGGAGUGAUACUAAUUACAAAACACAAUCGCCAUGCUGGUAAAGCUAUACACAUAAUAAAUAUAGCCUACUGCUUACAGGAUGAGACCCUUGUUAGCAUGUGAGGGGCCUUAUUUCAUAAUUUGUACACCUGAAAUGCAGGGACUGAUCUCCGGCACACUGGCCUAAUGUGGCGCUGCCCUACAAGGGCAAAUCCUCCAUCAAUAAUUAAGAAAAAUGACCCAUCAAAAACAAGUCAAGAGUAGGGGAGGCAUAGAAAAUGCUACAAAUUGAUUCCAGACUCUUUUUUUUUUUUUUUUUUAGGAAAAAACCAUCAUUGAAACAGUUACUGGAUUUAUAUUGGAAAAUUCCUACCAGGGUGUGGCUCCUUCAAGUGCCCGCCCUUUCUCGUGAUCUCCCCAAGAACAGGCAGAGGGACAUCCUGGGAACCGACCAAGAGGCAGCUUGGAUCCUACUCCUGCCACUAAGUGCUGCACCCAAGAACAUGGGCAUGGAGAGCCAAAACCUCAGACACAUGGCAAGGCACCCACAACCUCAUUUGUGUGCUUGGACACCUGAAAAUCCUUUACCUGGUAACUUUUAUUGAUAUAUUUCAUAUAAUCACCACUGUUAGUAAUAACUGAGGAAUUCUGUUAAAAAAAGAGGCAUGCCUGAGCACUGGAGACACACAAAUGUCCAUAAAAGAAAGGGCAUGGCAAUGAAUGUAGAGUUCUAGACUGGUACAUUUAAUAUGGAUACCUAGAAAAGUGAUAAUGGAAUAAUUUAUCGACAGCUUGGUUGUAUUUUAAAAGUAACAAAUAAUGAAUCCAGCCGAACAAGCAGGGGUAUUAUGCAUUGAAUUUUUGAUGGGGUCGUGAGACCAACCGAUCAGAAGAACACAGGUAGUGUCAUUUCCCCAAGUGUUUUGAAAAAGGAGGGAGGAAUUAAAGUGUAAGGAGACUUUUGUAGUUGAUUAAACCACAGCGACCCAAAGGGUGCUGAGGAGUCCAUUGCUGUUAACCUGGAGGAAAGUCCCCUGAGCCCCAGCUUGAGGGGAUGGCUCAUCUGCCAGGCAACAGAAUCUAUAUUCAAGAUGAUUUCAAGGCCCAAAGGAAGAGACAAAAUCACGUAGCAACAAUUCAUUACAAAUAAAAGGCUUUUUUUUUUUUAUAAAAGGAUUUUUAAAUGUGAAACUCCUAUUUUAAAUUCCCACAAAUAAUUUCACAAUUUUGGCACAGAUAACAUCUAGCUUGGGAGUGGGUUUUGAGAAAAACGGCCUGAAGAUGAGUUAUAUGAGCACUAAAAAGAAAAAAUGCAGGUGGGCUUGGGCUUUACUUAUAGAAGCAUUGAGUCCCUAUAAAGGCAGGUAAUUAGAAUGUGCUUCCAUUUCCCCAGGACCCUUCCUGCUAGCUUCGUGCAAUUGUGUCAGAAGAGAGCAUUGACCACGCUGUCCCAGACUCCCUCCCAGAUUUCUGGACUUGCCAGCCUUUCCUGUGAGACUCAUUUCCCCACUCUGUUGUUCUAUUCUUUGACCUAGUUACUGGUCGAACUAACAAGCAUUACUUACCUUCAGUGUAUUCUCUUGCCUUUCAUCUAUUAAAAACAUAAUACUCCUGCUCAACUUUGAAAGUCCAGCUUGAAUCCUACCUUCUCAGUGCAGCUUUCCUCUUCCUCACCAGCAGAAAUGACCUUGUCUUCCUCUAGGUGCUUAUGAACCUAGUGACCAUGAUCCUUAGGACUCUUCCCAGCCUUUUCACAUGCACUAUUAUCUUCUAUGAGAGUUGUUAUAUUUCAGAGCACCCUAAACAAUUUCUUAGGUGACAGAGGACAUAAACUAUACUUUUUAAAAUUGUGGUUUAUGUUCUGGGGUACAUAUGCAGAUUAUGCAGGAUUGUGGCAUAGAUACAUACAUGGCAAGGUGGUUUGCUGCCUUCAUCCCCCCAUCACC
ensembl:lncRNA